rnacentral:hammerhead_ribozyme from 1 species
AUUCAGCUGACGAGUUCCAAAUAAGACGAAACGCUCGUCAAAAAU